CUCUCGGGGUUACAGCCUUGCUGAAUUAUUCACCCUUGUCUUUUGCGUAGUUCUUGUUUCCUUGGUGGGUUCGCCCACCACUAGGACAAACAUAAACCUUUUGUAAUUGCAAUCAGCGUCAGUAACAAAUUAAUAAUUACAACUUUCAACAACGGAUCUCUUGGUUCUGGCAUCGAUGAAGAACGCAGCGAAAUGCGAUAAGUAGUGUGAAUUGCAGAAUUCAGUGAAUCAUCGAAUCUUUGAACGCACAUUGCGCCCUUUGGUAUUCCAAAGGGCAUGCCUGUUCGAGCGUCAUUUGUACCCUCAAGCUUUGCUUGGUGUUGGGCGUCUUGUCUCUAGCUUUGCUGGAGACUCGCCUUAAAGUAAUUGGCAGCCGGCCUACUGGUUUCGGAGCGCAGCACAAGUCGCACUCUCUAUCAGCAAAGGUCUAGCAUCCAUUAAGCCUUUUUUCAACUUUUGACCUCGGAUCAGGUAGGGAUACCCGCUGAACUUAAGCAUAUCAAUAAGCGGAGGA
rnacentral:rRNA from 1 species